rnacentral:lncRNA from 1 species
GCGAGGGUAAGCUUGAGGUCAUGGAUCGGAGCCAGGAGCUACGAUGAUGUUGAACAUGCCCUAAGUUGGUGAUGCUUAAACUGAAAGCCGUCCUUGAUGUACACAUGUCUUUGUAGUAUGCUAAUGUGUUGUCGUCUGUUUUUGUCGUUUUCCUUUACCGACCCGUAACAACAUCCCAUUAGCACAUGACAUGAAUCAAUACAUGAUCAUUUGCUCGUUUCUUUGUAUGGAUUAAAUCUACAUGUGAGCCGUGUUGAAAUAGAAAACAUGUGAAAUCUUGAACUGUGUUUUUGUAGGCUAAGAUCAUCUUUAUUUGAACUGUGUUUUUGUAGGCUAAGAUCAUCUUUAUUUGGGUCGUAGCUAUAAAUUCUUGGAUUAUAAACCAUUUUUUCUAAACUAAAAGUGUGUGGUAUUCUUUUACCC